UACGUAGGGUGCAAGCGUUGUCCGGAAUUAUUGGGCGUAAAGAGCUCGUGAGUCGGUUUGUCGCGUCUGCUGUGAAACUGGGGGCUCAACCCCCAGCCUGCAGUGGGUACGGGCAGACUAGAGUGCGGUAGGGGAGAUUGGAAUUCCCGGUGUAGCAGUGAAAUGCGUAGAGAUCGGGAGGAACAUCAGUUGCGAAGGCGGCUCUCUGGACCAGUCUGAC
rnacentral:rRNA from 1 species